UAAGGCCACCUCCAACUGUUGCUCAUAUGAAAACAAUGGUUGUAGCAAUAAGGCCACCUCCAACUGUUGCUCAUAUGAAAACAAUGGUUGUAGCAAUAAGGCCACCUCCAACUGCUGCUCAUAUGAAAACAAUGGUUGUAGUAAUAAGGCCACCUCCAACUGCUGCUCAUAUGAAAACAAUGGUUGUAGCAAUAAGCCCACCUCCAACUGCUGCUCAUAUGAAAACAAUGGUUGAAGCAGUAAAGCCCACCUCCAACUGCUGCUCAUAUGAAAACAAUGGUUGAAGCAGUAAAGCCCACCUCCUGCUGUUGCUCAUAUGAAAACACUGGUUGAAGCAGUAAAGCCCACCUCCCGCUGCUGCUCAUAUGAAAACAAUGGCUGAAGCAGUAAAGUCCACCUCCCGCUGUUGCUCAUAUGAAAACAAUGGUUGUAGCAGUAAAGCCCACCUCCAACUGUUGCUCAUAUGAAAACAAAGGUUGAAGCAGUAAAGCCCACCUCCUGCUGUUGCUCAUAUGAAAACAAUGGUUGUAGCAGUAAAGCCCACCUCCAACUGUUGCUCAUGUGAAAACAAUGGUUGAAGCAGUAAAGCCCACCUCCCAACGCUGCUCAUAUGAAAACAAUGGCUGGAAGUGAAAGCUCAAUGAAAGGCAUUGGCUGACUGAUACUGUGUGAUGAUGAUGCUCAAAUGAAACAAUAGGGAGUCUGCAUCGAAAUGUCAGACCCAAUUCUACUAUGUACCAACCCAAAACAAAUGGACUGGGGGAGAGAGUGAUGUAAUGAAAAGUAUUGGUAGAGAUGGGGUAACCCUGUCUAUGUCUAUCAUAAUCAUGAACUGGGGAAUGGGAUGAAUAUAUUUAAAAACAGAACAACACAGACCCUGAAAUACUGGUUUUGUUAGAUGUGUUUGAAUGGAGGACAUAGUAUCUCUCUUUCUAAUAAUACUGUUUGUGCGACCAAUAAACUUUGAUUCAAAUUUUUUAAUACAGCACAUCUCUGAUCUUGUCAAUAGCAAAGGAUUUUAUUUCAUCAUAAUAGUACAUUACAGUAUAUAUCGUACUUUAUAUCUUUCUACUUUACAGACAUACAUUUUCAUUAUGUAAUUCUAAAAAUCUGUAGUAGAUAAACCAACAUGCAUCUAAAAUUGGUCGGCUUUAAAUGACGAGCAGAUUAUGAAGGCUUUAUAAAGCGUUCAUAAAGCCUUCAUAGACAAUACAUAAAUGUGUUACAAAUGAUCUGUAACCAUAUGACAUGCUUUAUAAAGGGUUCAUAAAGAUUGUCCAUGUUCACAACAAUACUUAAACCACAUCAGGGGACGACUUUUGAAGUCUGUUUAGUGUAGUUGCUGUUUAAUUCAGUGCACAUGCUCUCAAUGUUGUUUGGUUAGAGGUUUUUCUGUAGCACAGUAAGAGGACAUGUGGUGAUUAUGUAUUCCAUAUACAAUGAUUUGAAUUUGAGUGAAAGUUCAGCAACACUCCAUAUUAUUCAGAGCCCCAUGAAAUGACACCAUAUAUACAUUCUACAGACCCUACUGAGUAUCCCCUACAAUGGUUGUAUUGCGGCACCCAGAAUAGUUUUAGCUCUAUAAGCCAAUAUGUAUUCCAAAUAGAGUAAUUCACAUUGGGGGCAUUUUUAUGACCUUGUAGCAUGCUUUAAACCCCUAAUUUAAUGCAAAGGUCACUUACAGAUGAACAAAUAUAAAUCAUUGUUAAUAUUUAGAGAAUUAUUUUUCAUUUAUCAUACAGGUUGUUGACACUUUUACACUAUUGCUUGGGGGACUUUUAUUUAGAAAGUUUCCGAAAUUCCGUGACCCAGAAUGACUUUUUUAGUGUUGCUGACGAGACGCUGCUCAUGCGAUGCGUUCGCAAAUCAAAUGGCCAAUUGUGGUGCCAACCGGACAGCGAAAAACAAGUAAGUUAACCUUUAUUUAUUGUAUUUGAAAUUUGUUUGUUGUAAAGUGUUGACUUAGAUUAAGCUACCUCAAUCGUUAUUUCAAAUAAUUUCCAUGACUUCACAGCAAUUACUAGCUAUCUGAAAUGUAGCUAGCUAGCAGACUCCGCUACAUAAAAAUAAAUUUAGAUGCAUCCACAUUUCAUAGUCAUUUCAUGAGAUUUUUUAAUGAAAGAGGAAUAUAAUAAUACGAAUCGAAUGGAGUUUCCCAUCUCCCCAUUUAGAGUUUCUGGCACAGCACAGAAAUGCCCUUAUCCAGAUGGUGUGACAAAGGCAUUUCCUAACAGACUGGCUAACUUUCUUUGUUGUUACUUUUAAGGUUAGAACCAACCAAGACAGACAAGAACCAUUCAUCUGCCAGCUCAGGGACAAGCUACACGAUUCACAGUCCUGUGUAAUGUUCAAUGUAAUUGCAUUGCUGGACUUUUUUAAACUUAAUGUAUAGUAAAAAAUAAAUACAUUAAUUAAAGGAAAUGUAUGUUUUAAACAUGUUUUUAAUGUUUAUUUGUUUUAGCUGUUUUAGUGUUAAUACAUUUGUGUUUACAUCAUUAAUCCUUUAUGUAUGUUAUGAAUGACGAAAGGUGUCUGACCUUAUAGUAAGUACACUCUCAUAUGUGACUCGUUUCAGGAAACUAGGCGUAUGUUGCGGGUCACUACUUCACAGGAGAGCCCUUUGAAAUUAAACUUUUUAAAAUUAUUAUCAAAAUAAGUUUUAGGGCAGAAAUGCCUUCUGGAACGUGAACUUUCAUGUGCAUUAAUAACAAACUUGUAUGCCAUCUGUAAAUACAAAUAAAAUUGUUAAAUUACGAGCCUAGUUGGUUUAGCCACAGAUAAACCUUUGCGCUACCCAUGAUUGGCUGAGAUAAUGAAUGCGCUGGACAUGCCGAGAGAUGAGUUUGGAUUGGUGCGGUAUAGCACGCUUCUGUCUAUUUAAGCUGGUCAGUAUGUAUUGGUAAUACUUUCUAAUGCAGCUUUUUUUAAAUAUAUAUUGCGUUGUAGAUCUAGCUAACGUUAGCUUGCUGGCUCGCCAGCUAAUGUUACAUGUAUGAUCUUAUUAUUCGUAUCUCAAAGGCAUUUUCUUUGCUAGCUAACAUUGAACCUGGUUGGUUAGCUACCUGCAGAUUCAUGCAAGGUAGUAACGUCAUUAGUUGGGAUUAUGGUUCACUGUUUAGCUAGCUAGCUACAUGUCUUAACAAAAGACUCCACUAUGCAAGUAACCAUUUCAAUAGAAAUGUUGAUAGACGUACUGUAGCUGAUAAAUUGCGCAGAAUUACAGACAAAUUUAAGAACGUUCAACACGCGUUGAAUAUGGCCGGUGUCAGUAAAUGUUGGCAAAAAAUAGCAAAUUGUUUCCAGCAGCACAGUUGCAGUCACCAACGCUCUAGAUAACAUAAAAACAGCCUAACCAGCUCUGCUAGGGCGAGGAAAAUGGUCAGUGAGCUGUUUGUUCAUUUGUGUCUGGAAGUAGCUAGGAAGCUAGCCAACUCUAGCCAGUUAGCUUGGGUGAUUGAGCACUGUUAGGGCAGAAUGCUAGGAUCAAACCUUAAAGACAUGGGUGGGACUAAAGCUUAAGAGGGUGUGAACGAUGCUGAAUGGGUGUAGACAAAGAAGAGCUCUCCAGUAGGUACCAAAACGGGUAAAGGCCAUUUUCUCAAAAGUGAGGUUACUAGUUCAUCAACUUUCAAAGUAUAAUUACUGUGCUGUCAAACUGCCUGGGAGCUCCUCAGUGGUGAAACUCCUCCUCCUUCAAUCAGUGGUGAACCAGGUGGAACAAAUCUUCCAGGCAAUCUGGGCGUGCAGCACCUGGCUCUGCUGUUGUCUUUAGAACGCAGUGAAAGGAGCAUUUAUAGCACCACAAGACCAAGGAAACUUCAUCUAUGUGAUCAAGGUGACUGUGCAAGUCCAAGCCCUCCACAAAACUGUGAAAGACAGCCGGUUUUUCACCUGUUUACUGCCAACCAAAGAAUGGUAAAUAAAAGACAAACAACUGA